rnacentral:scRNA from 1 species
ACGGAGGUAAAGAAAGUGAGGCAAAUGGAGUUUGUUGCCUUCACUGAAACUCGCCUCCAAAAUCAACCAGCAGAGAGAAUAUCCUUGGCUUGGAGUGGAAAAACCUUGGAUAGCUGCAUUUGCUUACAAAG